CCUUUUCAGAAGAAGGCAAAUAAUUCAAAAACAAAUAAAAAAAAUAAAUAAUACAGACAAAUUGAAAAGUGGAUGAAAAGGUGAACCGCCCAAUGUUAAGUACUGUUAGGUAUCACACAAAUAGAUCUUUUAUGCCUCUUCCAGAUACUGUAUGUUUUCCCUUUACUAAUGCAUAUAUUGUUCUAUAUCUAUAAGUUGUUAUAUUUAUAUUUUCCUUAAAAUUGGAGUUUCAAGGCCUGUCACCAUUUUUUUUUAUCUUGAAGCCUGGAUGAACAGGUAAGUAUCUGAACUGAAGCAGUUCAAGGAAUCAGACCUGCCAGAGUGUUGCUGAUGCACUAAUGUGCGUUUAUCUUUGCUGGAUUUCUUCAUAGUUGGAUUUCUUUAAAGUCAGACUUCUUCAAGCAUUCAAGGCCAGUCAUACUUUCUUCUAACAACUGCCAUGUUGGAUACUUACAAGCCAGGAUAAAUUGGAUAUCUUUGCUGGGUUUCUUUAUAGUUGGAUUUCUUCAAAGUCAGAUUUCUUUGAGCAUUCAAGGCCAUUCAUCCUUUCUUCUAACAACUGCCAUGUUGGAUCUUUACAAGUCACAAUGAACUGAUGAAAACUGUGAAGACAAAGCAACUGCGAACUGUUCCCUGGUACUGAAAGUAAAGCUGUUCUCACACUGGUAUUACCGCAAGGCCUGCUGCCGAGCCUGUGGGGGGAAAUCUCCCUGAGUGCCAUGUGCUGGCACAACUUCCUAAACUCAUUGGUGUGAAUCCUGUACAGAUUAAAAUACACCAGGUGCUCUCCUAUAAAUAACCUUGCUGUUCCACUACUUCAGGUAUGCUACAUGGUAGUAGAAGGGAAUGUUUGGCAGUCGUUAUUUUACUUCUACAUUUUAAUUUAGCCUUAUGGUGCCUAGUGAUCAACCUGCUGUUUUGUUGAUGUGAAUGUUUGCAUAAAUCGUCUCUUUCAGUUACCCUCAUACCCCAACAUGGCCAAAGAACCAUUAGCACAUUUCCCUAAAAUGUGUCCUUCUAGCUCCCAGACAUGUAGAAGGGUAUCCUAUUGCUGUAAUAUGUUUUUACAAGUGAAUUGGGCAUUAGGCACUGGAGAAGACACAGCCUGUCUCCUAGUUGUUUGCUUCUCUUGCAGUUUCAAUUUUAUGACAGUUGACCCUUGGCAUCCCAUGAGGUUAAAGGGUCAAUGAGUGACAUACAAUAUAUGGAAAUGUAAAAGCUGUAAAACUGCAAUUCAGCCAUAUUGAGAGAGAAUGUUAUUUAAAAAAGAAAAACAUAACAUACAUGUGGAUCCUGGUUAAUCACAGGUCUGAGAAUCCAAGCUUUGUAUUCACGAGACAAUGGCCGCCAUAUCUUGCUCCAGAAAAAGUGACAACGGCUGAAGAUGUAUUUUUAUUAUUCUAAAUAAAACAAGAACCAAUCUGGACAGUGCUCUAUGGUCAUGUUAUUUCAUUCUCUUCUUUUAGAUUGGUGCACCUUUGGGCCUUGCUAUAACAGGAGACCUGCUGCUCUUUAUCACAUUAUUUUGGCUUCUGGUGGGAGGCAGG